CACGUAGGGGGCAAGCGUUGUCCGGAUUUAUUGGGCGUAAAGAGCUCGUAGGUGGUUCGGUAAGUCAGGUGUGAAACCUCCAGGCUCAACCUGGAGACGCCACUUGAUACUGCUGUGACUGGAGUCCGGUAGGGGAGCGUGGAAUUCCUGGUGUAGCGGUGAAAUGCGCAGAUAUCAGGAGGAACACCAGCGGCGAAAGCGGCGCUCUGGGCCGGUACUGACACUGAGGAGCGAAAGCGUGGGUAGCAAACAGG
rnacentral:rRNA from 1 species